AGCAGCCGCGGUAAUUCCAGCUCCAAUAGCGUAUAUUAAAGUUGUUGCAGUUAAAAAGCUCGUAGUUGAAUUUCGGAAUUUGUCAGUUGGUCGGGCUUAACUGUCCGUACUGAUUUGAUGAAUUCUUACCUUCUGAAUAACCAGCAUGCUAUUAAGUUAGUGCGUUGGGGAAGCAGAUCUAUUACCUUGAAAAAAUUAGAGUGCUUAAAGCGGGCUAGUGCUUGAAUAGAUUAGCAUGGAAUAAUAAAAUAGGACGGCAUGGUUCUAUUUUGUUGGUUUCUAGGAUCACCGUAAUGAUUAAUAGGGAUAGUUGGGGGCAUUAGUAUUCAAUUGUCAGAGGUGAAAUUCUUGGAUUUAUUGAAGACUAACUUCUGCGAAAGCAUUUGCCAAGGAUGUUUUCAUUAAUCAAGAACGAAAGUUAGGGGAUCGAAGACGAUCAGAUACCGUCGUAGUCUUAACCAUAAACUAUGCCGACUAGGAAUCGGACGAAGUUAAUUUUUUAAUGACUCGUUCGGCACCU
rnacentral:rRNA from 1 species